GUCAAGCGCCUCUGGGUUUAAUUCCUGGUAUAAAAAAAUAAAUAAAAGAAAGAAAAAGAGAGAGAGCAGGCCAGGCUCUAACUGGGAAAAGGAGGGGGGCUUCAGCUCCAGAAGGAACAACAUUGAUGGAGAGAAAACUCAGGCUGGUUCCCGAGCAAAGGAAGGGACAGCCCUCCGGUGGAGAGCCCCGGUGGCCUGGGGGCUGCUAUCCCACGGGCCGUGAGUGUGGUAAACAUUCUUAGGAAUUUCUUACCUGUGGAAAAUCUUGGUGGCAUCAAUGGGGGUGGGGGGAUGUUAGUGGGACCGGAAGGGUGGAGUAAGGCCAGGGAACGGCUCUGUCCUUUUGUCCCUGAUGGUCGCAACAACAGUCACUGAAUGUGGUUCUUGGGCUGAAUGUAAAUGGGUCCGUGGGCGAGCGUGAAAACCGCCAGGUGGGACGGACCCCCUUCAAGGCUGACUUGAUUUCUGGAUAAUAAGAAGCCGUCAACCAGCUACUUAGCCCCAGAAUUUGCGCUCUCACUGUUUUGGAGGCUGGAAGCCCAAGACCAGCCAGCCUCCUUCUGAGCUCUCCCUGGCUUGAAAUGGCCACUGCGGCCACUCCCCACUGUAUCCCCACGUAUGUGGUCUUUCCUCCCAUGCUGCCGGGCUCCCUGGGCGGGGCCCCUGAGGGCAGAAUCAUCGGUGGUACUGCCCGGCUGCUUCGCAUGUCUGACUUGAAGAUGUCCUCCUUCCAAAUUUGCUCCAAGGAGGGAGGCACAGAGGGGCACCCAUCAGGUCACAUGCUCCUUGAUCACCACAGGCCCAGGCCAGGCUGUCUCAUGCUCCUGGAGAAAAAGAGCUAGAUAGAGGCCGUUCUCGGAGACCCACAGGCCUCAGGUGGCCUGCUCCAACCCAGCAUGGCCCCUCAGAUAAGUAAGAAUGUGACAGGAGUAAAACAUCAGGAAUGAAGGGUCAGCAUGGAUCAGCAGAGAAACUUGUUUGGACUUGUUUGGACUUUGCAGUAACUCAGUGACUGUUUAGUGCUGGUCACAAGAUGACCAGAGAGUGUGUCUAUGUUAGAUAAGUGGAUGAUGUAACCUUUUUGAGUGUGGAUGAUGUAACCUUCUAAGUUGUGGUCAUAGGAUAAUAAAGUAGUCAGGCAGUAUGCUUAUGUUAGAUAAGUUAGGUGUGAACAACUUGUAAAGUAUAUAAGCGCGGGGGAAACUCCAUGUAUUUGCCCACAACUAACUCUCGUCGCCUGAGAGUAAGAUCGUGCAGUUGUGUGCCAGCCACCUCGUGUAUUGCUUUGUGUGGUGUGCGAAUAAACCAGCAUUUCAAAAGGCAAUCGAGUUCGUGCUUGGUGUUCGCGUACGUCGCGGUCCGGGGUCCAGUGCAGAUAUCCGGAAGGGAACUCCUGGUAACCAGACAAGGCUGAGAAGCUGCUCGUGACAGUUGGCGUAGUCGGCAGGAUACGGAAGAAGAGCUCCGGAGCAGGGCAGCCGGGGGCAGAGACGGUGUCUGAGCCUGAGGAAGCUAACCACCCUAGGCCCUCCCACCAACCAGGAAGAGGUGGGGCUGGCACCCAGAUGGCCCUGGGAGGUCACUCCUGACCAGCUCCAUCGGGGGCUUCCAAAGCCAGGGCCCCUUAACAGGGAAAGUGAGCCCAGUGUCGGAGGUGACAGCCGAGCUACCUGGGACAAGCCUGUCCUGGGGGCGGCGGGGACACUCCACGGAUCAGGAGGACAACGUCAGAACGGCCGGGAAGACAGAGCUGAGUGUCCUUUGAGAUUCCUGAGCAGCUGGCAAGACGGAUAUCCGCUUAAUCAUGAUGCCCUCGUGAUGUGGGGCUCUGGCCCAAGCACCCCUUCAGUGGCCUCGCAGUGUUGGGGAGCCAGGCUCCCACUUCUGUCCACAUACCAGAGAGAAUCCAGGAGGGCUGCGGUUCAGUGGAAGGACUCUUGCCUGGUGUGCGCGCGGCACUGGGUUUGAUCCCCAGUGUAACCCAGGGUCUGUGAGCUCUGGAGGGUUCUUGUGUCAUGCACCCAAAGAAUAAAGUGCACAGGUGGCAGAGAGUGAGAA